AGGAUUAUGUUUCUAUUGAAAAUAAUUCAACAAGGAAGCCUCUGAAUAAAGCUUAGUGAGAUUAGGGUAAGGUUCGUUUCUGAAAUCUAACUUGUGAGAUUGCACGGUAUAUUGUUGGCUUGUUUUAUUUUUCCUAAAGGCCAAAUAACUUGCCCACACCUAUCCCAAGUUUCUUUCUCUGCAUGAAUCAAGUUCUUGAAUAUGACCAUUCCAACUGAGGGCUAAUCAUAGAUCUACUAUGAUUUUUUUUAAUAUCUUUUAUUUUAUUUUUGGUUCAGUUUUUGGGAGCUUUAUGUUGAGUCACUCCAAGAAUAGAAUCAGCAGCUCAUCUCAUGUUUUAGGAACCAAAUGAGGAAUCACAAGUCGAUGGACUUGAGCAUUCUUUCUCAUUUUGACACUCUAUCUGAGUCUGUUUCAUUAACCCUUCAACUCUAUUUUUAUGUAUCAUUUAAACACAAAAUACUAAUUUUAUGAUUUCUUUAUUUUUA
rnacentral:lncRNA from 1 species